CCCGCAACACGCCUCCGAGCCCGGACGCCUAAGGGGCAACGCCCUACGGUGCCGGGCCAACGGGUCCUCCCGGAAACGGAAGGACCUCCCGCGUUUGGAAAGGGGGCACCGGAAGCACCAC
rnacentral:ncRNA from 2 species